CGCGUAGGCGGACCUUCAAGUCGGAUGUGAAAACUGGUGGCUUAACUGCCAGCCUGCAUUCGAUACUGUCGGUCUUGGGUACAGAAGGGGAAAGUGGAAUUCCAGGUGUAGCGGUGAAAUGCGUAGAUAUCUGGAAGAACACCAGUAGCGAAGGCGACUUUCUGGUCUGAUACUGACGCUAAAGCGCGAAGGCUAGGGUAGCAAACA
rnacentral:rRNA from 1 species